AGCCUGCUAAAUAGGAUCGGGAACCUCGGUUCUCGCAUCACUUCUUAGAGGGACUUUGCGUGUCUAACGCAAGGAAGUUUGAGGCAAUAACAGGUCUGUGAUGCCCUUAGAUGUUCUGGGCUGCACGCGCGCUACACUGAUGCAUGCAACGAGUUUUUGACCUUGGCCGGAAGGUCUAGGUAAUCUUUUGAGUAUGCAUCGUGAUGGGGAUAGAUUAUUGCAAUUAUUAAUCUUCAACGAGGAAUGCCUAGUAGGCGCAAGUCAGCAGCUUGUGCCGAUUACGUCCCUGCCCUUUGUACACACCGCCCGUCGCUGCAACCGAUCGAAGGGUCCUGUGAACUCGAUGGACAGCCCAUCCCCUUCUUGGGGUUGGGCUGGAAGUUGCGUAAAUAGAGCCCUUUAAAGGAUGCAAAAGUCGUAACACGGUUUCCGUAGGUGAACCUGCGGAAGGAUCAUUC
rnacentral:rRNA from 1 species